UGGGGAAUAUUGGACAAUGGGGGGAACCCUGAUCCAGCCAUGCCGCGUGUGUGAAGAAGGCCUUAUGGUUGUAAAGCACUUUAAGCGAGGAGGAGGGUACUGGUAUUAAUGCUACCAGCUACUGGACGUUACUCGCAGAAUAAGCACCGGCUAACUCUGUGCCAGCAGCCGCGGUAAUACAGAGGGUGCGAGCGUUAAUCGGAUUUACUGGGCGUAAAGCGUGCGUAGGCGGCUAAUUGAGUCGGAUGUGAAAUCCCCGAGCUUAACUUGGGAAUUGCAUUCGAUACUGGUUAGCUAGAGUGUGGGAGAGGAUGGUAGAAUUCCAGGUGUAGCGGUGAAAUGCGUAGAGAUCUGGAGGAAUACCGAUGGCGAAGGCAGCCAUCUGGCCUAACACUGACGCUGAGGUGCGAAAGCAUGGGGAGCAAACAGG
rnacentral:rRNA from 1 species